GGAGACUGUGGUUCGGUGGUAGAGCAUUUGCUUUUCAUGCAGAAGGACCUGGGUUCAAUUCCCAGCAUCUACA